CAAGGGAGACUGAUAUGUUUGAU
rnacentral:piRNA from 1 species